ACUGAGAGCAACAGAAUCUCUUUUGCAGUGGUGACCAGAGGAAAUCAAUGUGGGUAUGAAUGCAAGGCACUAAUAUCCAAUCAGAUAUAAGGGAGUGAUGGUGGCUAGACAUAUAGACACAGAGUAGAGGUGUCAACAUAAGACCCCACCAGGAGUUUCAUAUGGCAGUACAAUCACCAGGACUGAGACAGAGAAUCCACAUUGGCCUGAGAUAUACAAGAAACCUGUCCAAGAGCCUGCCUGUGAAAACAGGGACGCAACUGCAGAUAAGUGGCUGUUGACACUAUGGGGCGGCAGCGUAGCAUAUUGGGAACUGGUACUGUAACCAUAAAGGUCACAGGUUCGAAUCCUAGGUAGGGCACUGUUGUAUCUUUGAGCAAAGUACGUAACCAGUGUAUAUCCAGCUAUAUAUAUGGAUGCAAUGUAAAUGCUAUGUAAAGGUUGUGUAAAUCGCUCUGGGUAAGAGUGUCUGUGAAAUGCCUGUAAUGUAAUAUAAUGCAAUGCUCGAUCACUUCUCCAGAUCAGUGUCUAGACCAUUACUGAUGCUUGACUGUAAAGGUGCAGCAGAUCGGAGUUAGUUUUCAUAAAGCAUACACGAAGCCCAAAAUGACAAUUUCGCUCAUCAGAAUAAACCAUUUUGCUUUCUUGUUCAGGACUUUCAAAAAUAGGAAACAGUGAUUUGAAUUUUCACACAUAACUAUAACAUUUGAUGAGCAUUUAAGUUUUGUUGUUUGUGGUAAUGUAUGGUGACAGGUCAUCCUUUUAGAGGGAAAUAUGAUCAAAUAUAAUGUGUAUGCAUUGCAUAGUAAAGGUGACCUAGGUAAGAAAAUAUGGUAUGGCAUGGACAGAUCAAAUACUGUAAUUCAGGUAAGGGUAUGUAGGGUAUAAAGUGAAGGCGUAUUCAGAGUCAUGUUAAUGAUUUGAGUGCCAUAAUUAAUACGCUUCUGAAUUUUGGUAGCUUUUUAAAUUAUUAUUUACCCUUUUUAUUAUUUACCCAGACAUAUACUCAUUUAAAAUAUCAUGUAUCCCAUGUCUAGCAGAAAUCUGAAAUGCGUAAACUCAACAGGAUUAAGAGAAACCUUCUAAGUUAAUACAAAGAUGUAGUUAAUUUUACCUUGGAAGGCUUACGCUUGUUUUGGAAGGCAGAGACAUACACAUGAAGCAUCAAAAUGACUUAGUACAAUACUUGCCUUCUUACGGCUUAUGUAUUUUUUCUAUAUAGUUUCAAAGGCUUGUUUUAAGAAAAAAAAAUGUUAUAUAUUAUUUUUCUGGGAUAAUGAACGCACCUCAUUGGCUUCAUACUGGCUCUAAUGUCUGUUGCAGUAAAGAAAAGUGUUUCCAUUUCAGCAAAGCAGGCAGCAUUUUAACCUAACUUCAUAACAGGAAAUAAAAACUAUCACCUCAUCUUUCUCAGGAGGUGUCAAGCUGAUUCACAGUUUAGACCCGGUAAGUAUAUCAUGUACCAGUAGAGACAUACACAUAGCACAGAAACAUAUUCGCAGUUCAUAUGAAUUACUGUGCGGUCCGUAAGUUGUCGAACAGUAACACAGUUUUUGUCCUUUUGGCUCCGUACUCCAGGACAUUGGAUUUGAAAUACAGCAGUAUAUUUCAAAUAUGAAGUUAAAUGCAGGCUGUCAGCUUUAAUUUGAGGGCAUUUACAUCUAUAUGAUCAGCAUAGGAAUUACAGCACUGACAAUUAUUGUGCUGUCCAAAUACUUUUGAACUGCACUGUAUAUUCAUAUAGCUUAACACGUACUUCAUUGUAAAACAAAGACUUUGAAGAUUCAGCUUGUGUAUCUUCAAUAAGCUGAAUACACAUCUUCAGUCUAAUCAAUUUCAUCUUCUGUUUACCCUUUAUAUAUAAUUUAAUAAAAUGAAAAUAACUACCCAUUUAACAAUAUUCUAUUGCCAGUCAGAACAUUCACUGAAUGUUAUUCAGUUUGCAAAGAAAUUGAAUUGUCAGUCAUUAUCAUUUGGUUUUAUUUAUUAAUGUUUUUACUUAACCUUAAUUUAACAAGAAAACCAUAUUGAAAUAUACAAUCUCUUUUACAAGAUUUUCAUGAUUUGAGGAUUGGUUCCAUUUCUGCACGUUACAAUUGAAGUUUCUUCAUGGAAUAAAAUGUCCUCAUUUGUAAGUACAGUAGUCAGAAAAUCUUAGGUACACACUUUUGAGAAUAGGGAGCAUUUUAUUCCUAGAACAAACUUUUAAUGUCAGACACACAGCACAGGGCAAUACAUAUAUGCAGAAAACCUUUUUAUUCUUUUAAUUCUUGCAAUGAGAGUCAUGGAAAAUGCCAAGCUCUCAGAGUGUAGGCUAUUUGCUAGUUUUGACAAAGGUAUUUAUCAAGCAGCCACCAAGUCACAAACAGACUGAAAUAUAUACAGUAAACACUGUGGGAACUUGAGGUGGAAAUGCUGCCUCUGAAAUUUUACUCACGAUAUACCUAUACCAUUCAGAAUAUGGCCUUUCCACUUGUCACUCCAGUAAGUUGAAUUUUCCAGUAAGGAAAAUUAGCCUUGCGAUGUUAGAUAAUGCUCAUUUUAUCUUGAUUUCCAUGUCCCCUCCCCCCGCCCCACCAACACCUUUCUACUCUUUCCUGUCAUCUACUGUCUAAUUUCAACACCCUUUCUCAGUUCAGCAGUCAGAACACAUCCGCCGUUGGAGAGAAACUGCCGUGAGGGAGCCUGAAAAUGUAUUGGCAACUGGCCUUACUUCUGCAGAUUCUACUGUUUUCUAGAGGUGUCCACCCCAGGGAGGAAUGUCCCAAAACAAUUGUGAACUCAUGUAGUGACUGCAUUCGAGCCGGACCCUUCUGCAUGUGGUGUAAUCAACUGAACUUCACCAAGAAGGGCGAACUGAGACGCAAUGCGCCUGUACACCGAGGCCCUGCUGAUGGAGAAAGGCUGUGACCCAGCUACAUCAUCUCUCCUAACAGCUCC